CCUACGGGGGGCAGCAGUGGGGAAUAUUGGACAAUGGGGGGAACCCUGAUCCAGCCAUGCCGCGUGUGUGAAGAAGGCCCUCGGGUUGUAAAGCACUUUCAGUGAGGAAGAACGCCUGGUGGUUAAUACCCAUCAGGAAAGACAUCACUCACAGAAGAAGCACCGGCUAACUCCGUGCCAGCAGCCGCGGUAAUACGGAGGGUGCGAGCGUUAAUCGGAAUUACUGGGCGUAAAGCGCGCGUAGGUGGCUUGAUAAGCCGGUUGUGAAAGCCCCGGGCUCAACCUGGGAACGGCAUCCGGAACUGUCAAGCUAGAGUGCAGGAGAGGAAGGUAGAAUUCCCGGUGUAGCGGUGAAAUGCGUAGAGAUCGGGAGGAAUACCAGUGGCGAAGGCGGCCUUCUGGACUGACACUGACACUGAGGUGCGAAAGCGUGGGUAGCUAACAGGAUUAGAUACCCGGGUAGUC
rnacentral:rRNA from 1 species